rnacentral:rRNA from 1 species
CCUACGGGUGGCAGCAGUGAGGAAUAUUGGUCAAUGGACGGAAGUCUGAACCAGCCAUGCCGCGUGCAGGAAGACGGCUCUAUGAGUUGUAAACUGCUUUUGUACAAGGGUAAACCUGAAUACGUGUAUUCAGCUGAAAGUACUGUACGAAUAAGGAUCGGCUAACUCCGUGCCAGCAGCCGCGGUAAUACGGAGGAUCCAAGCGUUAUCCGGAUUUAUUGGGUUUAAAGGGUGCGUAGGCGGAUUGAUAAGUUAGAGGUGAAAUGUCCGAGCUUAACUCGGGAACUGCCUCUAAUACUGUUGAUCUAGAGAGUAGAUGCGGUAGGCGGAAUGUAUGGUGUAGCAGUGAAAUGCUUAGAGAUCGGACAGAACACCGAUGGCGAAGGCGGCUUACCAAUCAUUAUCUGACGUUGAGGCACGAAGGCCAGGGGAGCAAAAGGGAUUAGAUACCCUGGUAGUC